rnacentral:rRNA from 1 species
UAAUACGUAGGAGGCAAGCGUUGUCCGGAAUCACUGGGCGUAAAGCGCGUGUAGGCGGAUGUCUAAGUCUGUCGUGAAAGCGCCUGGCUUAACCGGGCGAGGUCGAUGGAAACUAGGCGUCUAGAGGCCGGUAGAGGGGGGUGGAAUUCCGGGUGUAGUGGUGAAAUGCGUAGAGAUCCGGAGGAACACCUGUGGCGAAGGCGGCCCCCUGGGCCGCGCCUGACGCUGAGACGCGAAAGCGCGGGGAGCGAACGGGAUUAGAUACCCCGGUAGUCCGCGCAGUAAACGAUGUCCACUAGGUGUGGGGGGUAUCGAGCCCCUCCGUGCCGCAGCUAACGCAGUAAGUGGACCGCCUGGGGAGUACGGCCGCAAGGUUA